ACAAAUUUUAAGAUGGCAGCCCAAGAGUCUAGCUUGUUUCCCUAAUUUUUCAUCAUCACUGCCAAAUUUGCCCCCAUGUAAAGAGGAUACCCUAAACGAGCAAUCAGUUUUCUUCUUUUGAAACCGUCGCAGUAUAUCCUAUGAGGAUUGAAAUCGUCGAUUGAAACAAUGAGAUCGGUUAUGGCAAUGAAAUCGUUAAUGGUUGGAGCAAUUAAUGGAAAUUGAUGAUUGAAUGGUGGGAGCUGAAGAGAUUCAAAGAAUUGAAUAUGUCCCUUCGUUUCCAGAACCGCACCUCUGUAUAAUCUGCGAUUCUCAUUUAGGAAGCCCAAUAUCGUCACCAUACCAGAUUUCUUGAAUUAUCCUAAGAGCCAUCGAUUUUGGAGCUUUCAAAUUGGCCUUCCAUUCUUUAAACCCAGAGCGGCUGCAAAACUUAGCGAUAAAUACCCUAAUAGGGAUUAAUCUCAUUCAGUUGUUAUGCCUGAUUUCCAUCAUAUAGGUUUGUGGUACAGUUCUUAUGCAGUUAUAGCACCCUACCAAUGUAUGCACUCGAUACGCAGAUGGGUACAAAUUACAAGGCUGAAUCAAUUCCCCAAAGAACUAGAGAUACAAUCCAUGGUUGGGGAAAAGAAGCCAGAAGAAGGAGAAAGCGGUUCACCUUCUCUGUAAACGGGUCAAAACAAAAGGGCUACGCUUUUUAACAUCAUCAUCAUGUUAAUUUAAGGAUUUGAACAAGGAACUAACCCAUAAACUCGAAGUUCAAACGCAAAGAUUAGAGUUGUUGAUAAUACUCCUUACGCCGAUGAAGGUGACGAGGUUGUGGAAAGAGUUCUAGGAUGGAUAAUAAAGGACCAUCAAAGCGGAAAACUAAGCAUCUAUGAGUCUAAACGAAAUGAGAAUAUUUUACUAAAAGUUCACAUGUAGUCCAGAUCUCUUUUCACUACCAUUAGAGGUGCAAUUUCAUCUCAUUGGGAAAUUUUGUGCAAAGACAGUGUUUCCAUGUUUAGUUAUGGAUGUGGGAAUGCAAAUAGAAUAUAUUGAGUUGAAGAGGACAUUGUAAAAUCAAUGUUUUUAUGGUUUUUCUUUCUUCAAUUAGAGGAAAAUGUUUUUAUGUG